UACAGAGGUCCCAAGCGUUGUUCGGAUUCACUGGGCGUAAAGGGUGCGUAGGUGGUGAGGUAAGUCGGAUGUGAAAUCUCCAAGCUCAACUUGGAAACUGCAUUGGAAACUACCUUGCUAGAGGAUUUGAGGGGGGAUUGGAAUACUUGGUGUAGCAGUGAAAUGCGUAGAUAUCAAGUGGAACACCAGUGGCGAAGGCGGCAUCCUGGACCAUUACUGACGCUGAGGCGCGAAAGCUAGGGGAGCAAACGGG
rnacentral:rRNA from 1 species